rnacentral:pre_miRNA from 1 species
AUAGGAUCUAGACCUGGCGUAUCUUCAUACGACCAUGCAAAAAUAUCUGGAUAUUCCCGGAGGAGUUGGAUGAUCCUCUUUUAACCCCUUCCCCUAGAGCAGCACCGAUCUUGAUUUCUCGCUUGUUCUCCUCGGUACCUAUGUUGAUAAGCUCAAUCUCUUCCUGG